rnacentral:rRNA from 1 species
GAUGAACGCUGGCGGCGUGCCUAAUACAUGCAAGUCGAACGCUUCACUUCGGUGAAGAGUGGCGAACGGGUGAGUAAUACAUAAGUAACCUGGCAUCUACAGGGGGAUAACUGAUGGAAACGUCGGCUAAGACCGCAUAGGUGUAGAGAUCGCAUGAACUCUAUAUGAAAAGUGCUACGGGACUGGUAGAUGAUGGACUUAUGGCGCAUUAGCUGGUUGGUAGGGUAACGGCCUACUAAGGCGACGAUGCGUAGCCGACCUGAGAGGGUGACCGGCCAAACUGGGACUGAGACACGGGCCAGACGCCUACGGGAGGCAGCAGUAGGGAAUUUUCGGCAAUGGGGGAAACCCUGACCGAGCAACGCCGCGUGAAGGAAGAAGUAAUUCGUUAUGUAAACUUCUGUCAUAGAGGAAGAACGGUGGAUAUAGGGAAUGAUAUCCAAGUGACAGUACUCUAUAAGAAAGCCACGGCUAACUACGUGCCAGCCGCCGCAGUAA